rnacentral:rRNA from 1 species
GGACGAACGCUGGCGGCGUGCCUAAUACAUGCAAGUAGAACGCUGAAGGAGGAGCUUGCUCUUCUGGAUGAGUUGCGAACGGGUGAGUAACGCGUAGGUAACCUGCCUGGUAGCGGGGGAUAACUAUUGGAAACGAUAGCUAAUACCGCAUAAGAGUAGAUGUUGCAUGACAUUUACUUAAAAGGUGCAAUUGCAUCACUACCAGAUGGACCUGCGUUGUAUUAGCUAGUUGGUGGGGUAACGGCUUACCAAGGCGACGAUACAUAGCCGACCUGAGAGGGUGAUCGGCCACACUGGGACUGAGACACGGCCCAGACUCCUACGGGAGGCAGCAGUAGGGAAUCUUCGGCAAUGGACGGAAGUCUGACCGAGCAACGCCGCGUGAGUGAAGAAGGUUUUCGGAUCGUAAAGCUCUGUUGUAAGAGAAGAACGAGUGUGAGAGUGGAAAGUUCACACUGUGACGGUAUCUUACCAGAAAGGGACGGCUAACUACGUG